AGCGAACGCUGGCGGCAGGCCUAACACAUGCAAGUCGAACGAACACUUCGGAGUUAGGGGCGGAGGGGGGGGUAACACGGGGGAACGAGCCCUUGGGUUCGGUAUAACUCAGGGAAACUUGUCCUAAGACCGAAUGGGCCCUUCGGGGGAAGGAUUUAUCGCUAUUGGAGCGGCCCGCGUCUGAUUAGCUGGUUGGUGAGGUAACGGCUGACCAAGGCGACGAUCAGUAGCUGGUCGGAGAGGAUGACCAUCCACACUGGGACUGCGACCCGGCCCAGACUCCUACGGGAGGCAGCAGUGGGGAAUCUUGCGCACUGGGCGAAAGCCUGACGCAGCCAUGCCGCGUGAAUGAUGAAGGUCUUAGGAUUGUAAAAUUCUUUCACCGGGGACGAUAAUGACGGUACCCGGAGAAGAAGCCCCGGCUAACUUCGUG
rnacentral:rRNA from 1 species